rnacentral:misc_RNA from 1 species
CGUGUGAGUGGUGUUUGGUUGUGUGUAUCGGCAGGCUCCGUGCUACGUGCAUCGAACUGUCGAGCCGCACUCCUCUUCAACAUCCUCCCCUUGUGGCCGUUGUGCACAAGGGGUGUUUUGAGGGAUCCUGUGUUGCAUACCCGAAUCGAUGGAAUUUAUGAUGUGUUAUCAUACAUUGUCCGUCGAGUUGCCUCGUUGCCUGCUCGGUGGACCUUAAUCGUGCCCGUUGUCCCGGUUGUGUCGAUCAAGAUGAUUCGAUCAUGUCGGUGUAUCGGUGCUCGAUCGUGCUUUUGGAUGCGGAAAAUCAUGUGAGCGUAGGGUUAAGGCCCCGAACGCUCGGCUUCUUUGCAUUUUGUCCCUUGACACGAUCGAUGAUCUUGCCUCGUUAUGGCCUCUCGCCUACCAAUGUAGCGCGAUGUGUGCCGUGCGGGGUGGAUGUCGCUCAAGGAAUGCUACCUGGUUGAUCCUGCCAGUAGUCAUAUGCUUGUCUCAAAGAUUAAGCCAUGCAUGUGA